rnacentral:misc_RNA from 1 species
AACUUUCGGCAACGGAUCUCUUGGUUCUGGCAUCGAUGAAGAACGCAGCGAAAUGCGAUAAGUAAUGAGAAUUGCAGAAUUCAGUGGAUCAUCGAAUCUUUGAACGCACAUUGCGCCCCUUGGUAUUCCGAGGGGCAUGCCUGUUCGAGCGUCAUUUCAACCCUCAAGCUCUGCUUGGUCUUGGGCCUGGCCGUGAUGGCCGGUCUUAAAAUCAGUGGCGGUGCCGUCGCAGGCUCCAAGCGUAGUACAUCUCUCGCUCUGGAAACCUGGCGGUGCCUGCCAGGCAACCCCUAAUUGUCUCUUUCGGUUGACCUCGGAUCAGGUAGGGAUACCCGCUGAACUUAAGCAUAUCAAUAAGCGGAGGCU